AGCAGCCGCGGUAAUUCCAGCUCCAAUAGCGUAUAUUAAAGUUGUUGCAGUUAAAAAGCUCGUAGUUGAAUUUCGGGAUCAAUAUUUCGGUCAUGCCGUUGGUAUGCACUGUUAUCAUUGAUUUCUCACCUUCUAAAGAACCGUAAUGCCAUUAAUUUGGUGUUACGGGGAAUUAGGACUGUUACCUUGAAAAAAUUAGAGUGUUUAAAGCAGGCUCACGCUUGAAUACAUUAGCAUGGAAUAAUGAAAUAGGACAUCCGAUUCUAUUUUGUUGGUUUCUAGGAUCGAUGUAAUGAUUAAUAGGGAUAGUUGGGGGCAUUAGUAUUCAAUUGUCAGAGGUGAAAUUCUUGGAUUUAUUGAAGACUAACUACUGCGAAAGCAUUUGCCAAGGAUGUUUUCAUUAAUCAAGAACGAAAGUUAGGGGAUCGAAGACGAUCAGAUACCGUCGUAGUCUUAACCAUAAACUAUGCCGACUAGGGAUCGGAUGAUGUUAAUUUUUAAUAGUA
rnacentral:rRNA from 1 species